UCGUAUUUUUUUUCAUCUUUUACGGUGUCUACCUUCGUUUGAAAGUGUUCGUUGUGUUCGUGAAAAACAACGAUGGUCGUGUUUCGGACUGUAUAGACAUUUAUAAAAGCAUCGUGGAUACUGUGGAUAAUAUUCGGAAGCCAAUUAAUAUUGUGUAUGCUACUGUUAUGUUUUUUUUGACGCCAGGAUUGGUAAUAACAUCUUACAUUGGUCUGUUAAAAUUAAAGAGUUAUAAUGGAGAAGUCACUUUCCGAUACCUCUUUGACUGCUUUUGCAGGAUUAUGUAUUGUUCACAAGAUUUUGGACUGUUGUUUAUACCUGCGAUAUCGGCCGGCCUACUAACU